UCAAAAGUCAAACUUGUGAGAUUUUUCGUGGAGAACGCAUUGGGGAGCUUGGAAACUGAUUUGGAGCAUUCAAUUCAGAGGCUAUCUUGCGUGGAAAUUUAAGGAGAACAUCGUGGAAGUUUCAGAAUCUGUUUUUGGCACGUCGUUCGAGGACCGAGCACCAGCUACUGUCACGAAUAGAUCGAGCUUGUUGCAGUCAGAUUCGGAGACUAGGGUGAUAACUUGGCAUUUUUGGAUCACUUAUGUCUCCUUCAGAAUGGAUGGCCCGUCUUUUGCCUUUUGAGACUAGCCAGUUGUUGUAUAUAUAUGUCCGGUCCACUUUCGGGA